rnacentral:rRNA from 1 species
ACACGACUACAUUAGAUACCCCUGUAGUCCUAGCCGUAAACGAUACUCGCUAGGUGUCGGCCACGGUGCGACCGUUGUCGGUGCCGUAGGGAAGCCGUGAAGCGAGCCACCUGGGAAGUACGGCCGCAAGGCUGAAACUUAAAGGAAUUGGCGGGGGAGCACAACAACGGGUGGAGCUUGCGGUUUAAUUGGAUUCAACGCCGGAAGUCUUACCGGGACCGACAGCAACAUGAAGGCCAAGCUGAAGACUUUGCCGGAUUAGCUG